rnacentral:rRNA from 1 species
AGUGAACGCUGGCGGUAGGCCUAACACAUGCAAGUCGAACGGCAGCACAGUAAGAGCUUGCUCUUACGGGUGGCGAGUGGCGGACGGGUGAGGAAUACAUCGGAAUUUACUUUUUCGUGGGGGAUAACGUAGGGAAACUUACGCUAAUACCGCAUACGACCUACGGGUGAAAGCAGGGGAUCUUCGGACCUUGCGCGAUUGAAUGAGCCGAUGUCGGAUUAGCUAGUUGGCGGGGUAAAGGCCCACCAAGGCGACGAUCCGUAGCUGGUCUGAGAGGAUGAUCAGCCACACUGGAACUGAGACACGGUCCAGACUCCUACGGGAGGCAGCAGUGGGGAAUAUUGGACAAUGGGCGCAAGCCUGAUCCAGCCAUACCGCGUGGGUGAAGAAGGCCUUCGGGUUGUAAAGCCCUUUUGUUGGGAAAGAAAAGCGGCAGGUUAAUACCCCGCUGUUCUGACGGUACCCAAAGAAUAAGCACCGGCUAACUUCGUG